UACGUAGGGGGCGAGCGUUGUCCGGAUUUAUUGGGCGUAAAGCGUCCGCAGGCGGUCAACCAAGUUCGUGGUGACAGUCUCCAGCUCAACUGGAGAAGGCCCAUGAAGACUGGUUGACUUGAGGGCUUCAGAGGGACAUGGAAUUCCGGGUGGAGUGGUGAAAUGCGUAGAGAUCCGGAGGAACACCAAAGGCGCAGGCAGUGUCCUGGGA
rnacentral:rRNA from 1 species